rnacentral:rRNA from 1 species
CCUACGGGUGGCAGCAGUGGGGAAUAUUGCACAAUGGGGGAAACCCUGAUGCAGCGACGCCGCGUGAGGGAUGAAGUAAUUCGUUAUGUAAAGUGCUAUUAUCAGGGAAGAAAAUGACGGUACCUGAGUAAGAAGCCUCGGCUAACUACGUGCCAGCAGCCGCGGUAAUACGUAGGGGGCAAGCGUUAUCCGGAUUUACUGGGUGUAAAGGGAGGGUAGAGGGCAGUGAAAGGUUGAAGGAAAAGGCGGGGGCUAACCCCCCAGACUAUUCUCGAAACUGUACGGCUCGAGUGCAGGAGAGGUAAGUGGAAUUUCUAGUGUAGCGGUGAAAUGCGUAGAUAUUAGGAGGAACACCAAUGGCGAAGGCAGCUUACUGGACUGUAACUGACGUUGAGGCACGAAAGCGUAGGGAGCAAACGGGAUUAGAUACCCCAGUAGUC